AACGAACGCUGGCGGCAUGCCUAACACAUGCAAGUCGAACGAGACCUUCGGGUCUAGUGGCGCACGGGUGCGUAACGCGUGGGAACCUGUCCUUAGGUUCGGAAUAACUCCCCGAAAGGGGUGCUAAUACCGGAUAAUGUCUUCGGACCAAAGAUUUAUCGCCUUUGGAUGGGCCCGCGUUGGAUUAGCUAGUUGGUAGGGUAAAAGCCUACCAAGGCGACGAUCCAUAGCUGGUCUGAGAGGAUGAUCAGCAACACUGGGACUGAGACACGGCCCAGACUCCUACGGGAGGCAGCAGUGGGGAAUAUUGGACAAUGGGCGAAAGACUGAUCCAGCAAUACCGCGUGAGUGAUGAAGGCCUUAGGGUUGUAAAGCUCUUUUAACCGGGAUGAUAAUGACAGUACCGGGAGAAUAAGCGCCGGCUAACUACGUG
rnacentral:rRNA from 1 species